AGUGAACGCUGGCGGUAGGCCUAACACAUGCAAGUCGAACGGCAGCACAGUAAGAGCUUGCUCUUACGGGUGGCGAGUGGCGGACGGGUGAGGAAUACAUCGGCAUCUACUUUUUCGUGGGGGAUAACGUAGGGAAACUUACGCUAAUACCGCAUACGACCUACGGGUGAAAGCAGGGGAUCUUCGGACCUUGCGCGAUUGAAUGAGCCGAUGUCGGAUUAGCUAGUUGGCGGGGUAAAGGCCCACCAAGGCGACGAUCCGUAGCUGGUCUGAGAGGAUGAUCAGCCACACUGGAACUGAGACACGGUCCAGACUCCUACGGGAGGCAGCAGUGGGGAAUAUUGGACAAUGGGCGCAAGCCUGAUCCAGCCAUACCGCGUGGGUGAAGAAGGCCUUCGGGUUGUAAAGCCCUUUUGUUGGGAAAGAAAAGCAGCAGAUUAAUACCCCGCUGUUCUGACGGUACCCAAAGAAUAAGCACCGGCUAACUUCGUG
rnacentral:rRNA from 1 species